UCUCGGGGUCAUUUAGAGGAAGUAAAAGUUGUAACAAGGUUUCUGUAGGUGAAUCUGGGGAAGGAUCAUUACCGAACCGUCGACACGAGGUGUUGGUGGCCUCUCUGGCGGGGGGCAUGUGCACUCUCUGUUUACACAUCCACUCACCCCCUGUGCCCCCUGUGUAGUUGUGUGGCCAGAAGGGCCCCCGUCCCUCCUGGCGCGUUUAUACGUUUUUAUACACCCCCUGUAGAAAUGUUUUAGGGAAUGUGUGCCGCGUUUAACCCAGGGAAAUAAAAUUCUCAGCAAGGGAUCUUUUGUCUCUCACAUAGAAGAAAAACACAGAAAAAUGAGAUAAAUAAUGUGAAGCGCAGAACACAGAGAAUCAUCGAAUCUAAGAACGCCCCUUGCGCCCAUUGGCUAUUGUGAGGGACUCGUCGGUUUGAGUAUCACGAACACCUCCCUCCUGGUGUUUUGACGCCAUGGGUGUGGACUUUGGAGGUUUUGGUGGCCCCCCCUGUGUGGUCGGCUCCUCUCAAAUGAAUCAGCUUACCAGUGUUUGGUGGCGUCACAGGUGUGAUAACCAUGUACGCUUGCGGCCGUCUGCCAUCCAACCUUCAGUGAUGAGGGUUCGCUGGGGCUCACAGAGUCUCUCCCGAGGAAGACAGCCUUUUGAUCGUCGAUCUCAAAUCAGGUAGUUGACCCGUUCCC
rnacentral:rRNA from 1 species